GUGCUUGCUUUUACAGCCCAUAUACUAAAAUUGGAACAAUACAAAGAAGAUUAGCAUGGCCCCUGCGCAAGGUUGACACAAAAAUUUGUGAAGUGUUCCGUGUUUUU